CAGCAGCCGCGGUAAUACAGAGGGUGCGAGCGUUAAUCGGAUUUACUGGGCGUAAAGCGUGCGUAGGCGGCUUUUUAAGUCGGAUGUGAAAUCCCUGAGCUUAACUUAGGAAUUGCAUUCGAUACUGGGAAGCUAGAGUAUGGGAGAGGAUGGUAGAAUUCCAGGUGUAGCGGUGAAAUGCGUAGAGAUCUGGAGGAAUACCGAUGGCGAAGGCAGCCAUCUGGCCUAAUACUGACGCUGAGGUACGAAAGCAUGGGGAGCAAACAGGAUUAGAUACCCGGGUAGUCCCUGUCUCUUAUAU
rnacentral:rRNA from 1 species